rnacentral:rRNA from 1 species
UACGUAGGGUGCAAGCGUUGUCCGGAAUUAUUGGGCGUAAAGAGCUCGUAGGCGGUUUGUCGCGUCUGCUGUGAAAACUCGGGGCUUAACUCCGGGCUUGCAGUGGGUACGGGCAGACUAGAGUGCGGUAGGGGAGACUGGAAUUCCUGGUGUAGCGGUGAAAUGCGCAGAUAUCAGGAGGAACACCGGUGGCGAAGGCGGGUCUCUGGGCCGUAACUGACGCUGAGAAGCGAAGGCAUGGGGAGCGAACAGG